rnacentral:lncRNA from 1 species
AGAAACCAGCAUGUACUCCCUCCUUACGGGCGUAAGUCCUUGGGACGGCGCCCGCGACAUUGCUUCCCUUUCAGAGCGUCGCCAUCAUUGAAGCCCCCGUCGAGCUCAUGCAGACCGAGCUCAGAAAUCCGAGCGCAAAACACCUAAAAAAUCAAGCCAAAGAAGGCCGGUGCCGAACCAAGUCCUGAGGGACUUCGAAGCUCGAGAGCUAUCAAAAUAUCUCCAAAAGGUACAGGACGCUACUUUGGCUUCAAAUAAAUUCAAUAUUUUAUCUAUUUUCAGGUUAGCCAACGAGCUCGGCUCGUUCUCCUACCCUGACCACGGUCAGGAUGCCCCAAUAUAUUGGGAUGCCCUGCCACAACGGGAUGCCCCGAUUCGUCGGGAUGGCCCGAGACGUCGGGAUGCCCCGGCUAUAGGGACACUCGAGACGUCGGGAUAUGAGUUAGCGGUCCUCUCUGACCGGACGAGCUCGGCUCGUGCUCCAUCGGCUAUGAGUUAGCGGUCCUC